rnacentral:tRNA from 1 species
UCCCUGGAGGUCCAGUGGUUAGGACUUGGUGCUUUCACUGCAGUGGCUGAGGUUCAAUUCCUUGUCAGGGAA